ensembl:lncRNA
CCACGCCGUCGGAGAAUUAUGGAACGGCCACGCUGAGCUGGUGAACAACGAGGAGGAUGGCAGUAACCGCAGCGCCAGCCGCGGAGGAGAGAAGGGCUUGUGCAUGCGUCUGUUUUGUUUGGCUCUUCGGCAGCAAAGAACAAGAGGACGCAACCCAAGCCCAAGUGUCAGAGGAAGACCACGAACAUAUUAUGGAGAUGCUCUACGAACCUCCCAAAAUGAAGUUGUUGCUCAACCUUGGCCUUUUUUUGGUGUGCUCCUUGGGAGUUUUCAUGUUUGUGUAUUUUUCCUAUAGUUUAGCUCCUGCUAUUGGGACCAUAUGUAAAGCAAUUUGAACAGUGGCACCUGUAGUAUCGGAGUUUCGUUAUUAAAAUGCGAUCUGGAGUCUGUAAUAUUUACAGUAGGAUUUUAGCUUCUUUGGAGGACCUGAAGAGAUAGGAGCUUGAAUGUCAGACUUUGGGAAAUUAUUAGUUCCCUUACUGUAGAUGGACAAAAUAUCUAUAUCAUGUACAACUAUUUCAAAAGGUUCUUCCUACCAACCAUUUAUGCUGAUGGGCAUAUAUGGGAUUACUGGACAACUAAGUUAAAUGUGUAUAACCGUUUUUUCUCUAGCAAGUGGUAUGGUAAGAUUAUUUAUUUUUGUUAUUUUUUUCCUCUGGAAAAAAAGACUUAGAUGUUUUUCUCUGUAUUCAGUGUUGGCUGUUUGUGACUGUUUUGGGACCGUUGAGAUAAUUUAAUCAUUAUUCUUGUCUUUUUCAAGUAACCAUCUAGUGUCUGUAGCAUAUCUUGAACAGCGGUCAUACCUAUCGCAGUGUGCAGACUAUAUUAGUGAUCCUCACAAUGGUGUUCCUAUAAUUGUGUGUGUUUGUUUAGUUGGCCCAUAGCCAUAUGUGUAAUUCUGUCUACUCCUAGUGGUGAACUGUUGUACUGCUGUUUGAAGCACUUUCCAAGCCAAGCCUUCAAUGAUCUAUUUUUUUUUUGUGUGAUAUUUUUCUGUUUUGUUGUUUUUCAAAGGUAUGACCAAAAAUCCACCAAAAAGCCUUUAUUAUUUAAAACAGGGAACAUUAACACCAGAACGAGCUGUGGUCUGAUGGUAAGAACUAAAAUACCCAGAUGGCAGCUGGUUAAUGAACUGAUCUCGCCCUGGUUCUCGGCCUCCAGGUCGGUUCUAGAGUUUACUUCCAUCUAGAAACCAGUGUAACACAGAACCAGUAACUCAUAUAUGUCCAUGAAAAGCUGUAGGUAUUGCUUCAUUACCUGAUACAGUUUAACAUGUGUCUGCGAGGCAUAUUCUAUAGUCCUGUUCCUCAUAAAGAUUAAAUGUAUUGAACAAUAUCUUGUGUUAAAGAUAUUUCCCAUUGAUGGAUUUGGAGUAUUCCUCAAAAACAAAUGGUUGACGACAAUUAUUAAAAGAGUUGCCCUUUGAAAGCACAUCCAAGCCUUUAGAGAGCACUCAAAAGCACUUAAUGAAGCACUGAAAAAAAAAAAUGCCCGACAUAUCCUUAUUUAUAUAUCCCAAAAUGUAACAUCAGUGAAUGGGAUGUCUUGUCAUUGCUGUGCAAAAUGAUAUUUAGUUCUUCUAGAGGAAGAAUCCAGUAUGUGGUUGUGGAACCUGUGCAGGGUUGUUUGUGCCUCUACUGUUUCAUACGCAUUGUUUGUUGAGAAGCAAUGGAAGAAUGGAAGCCCAGCAAUUGUUACGAAAUGUAUGAGUACAAAAUAUUGAUAUAUUCUGUUGCCUUUUUGUUUGAUAUUUAAUGAAAAACUGCUGUUGAAAAAGAUGCAGUAAAAUGAUAUGCUGUUGUUAUUUUGCAUUCCUUAAAAUUAAAUUACUGAACGUCUAUGAGGCAUUUAAUUGUCCCUCGUGCACAGAGAUGUGAUGUAAAGUCUGAGGGGUUACAUUCAGUCCCACAUGCUGGGUGAGGUGAUUUGGAUCUUCAUUGCCCUGAUCAUUUAUUUAGCCCUUUCUGUCCCUGGGCCUUGGGUUAUUUCAUGAAAUCCAGUCAGAAAGUCUUAUCCAGAUCAAACUGAAUAGCACACUGAGGUUGUAUGUGAGUGAAUUUCAGAAAGUGACUAGGUAUGUGUACUUGCUCUGCCAGUUGGUCUAUAGUGUAUAAGAAAGGGCACAGAUAGAACAUAAAUGAAAUGCAAUAAAAAAAAGUCUCCACAAUCAAAUUUGCUCCUGUCUUUAUUGAUGACUUGAUAGGCAUGUAAAUGCAAUCCUGGCCCGGAUUAAUUAUUGAUUGAUUAAUUAUUGAUUGAUUAAUUAAUGGCAUUUUUACCCUUUCUGACCUCUUCUGUGGUGGACCUCAAUCUGGUGGCUGAGGGUCAAGCUGUAUAUCUCACAAAGGCACAGAACUAUCAAUGGUGAAGUGUUUACGGCAUGUAAAGCAUAGCAAGCAGUGGCAAUGACAAACAUACACAUUUUGAUCACAGACAAGCGGCACAUGAAGUAAUAACCAGAAGAGAAUGAACAGAAUAGAGAGAGUUGUGAGAGAAUGGUUAUAAUGUUCAAUGUACACGAAGAACAUAAAGAUGUAAGUUAGAUUGAACAUCACAAGUUGUUUUCGUUGUGUUUUUUUUUCUUGAUGUUUUUCUGCAUAUUAUAUUUCAUUUUUGUCACACUGAGGUUGUGUUAUAUUUUAUUAAUAAUUUACAGUAUGUCAAACUCUGUUUUUAGGUGUGGUUUGAUUUGAAGCAUCAUUAUUUGUCCCAAAGUUUAUUUGUGACUUCUUCCACAGGAGUACGCUACUUUGUCAGUCAUCAAUCAUAUGACACCUUUACUGAUCUCUGAUUUAAACUGAUGAACUAUGGCAAUGAUAAUAUAACAAACUGAUUUGCUUUAAUGUUUUUGCAAGUCUGUUUGAGUGAUUUUUCAGUUGCUUUAAAGUCAUUUGAAUUCAUCUUUUAGAGGGCCGAAUGAAUUCAGCAACCAGAUCAAAGCAUUAGAGGAAACAUGGCUGGUAAAGAUUCACUAGUUGAUACGUUUUAUUGAAACACUGAAUAGAUUGUUCUACAUCUAUGCAUUUUAUGAAUAGUGUAGACCAGUUAGAUGUCAUUGUCCAUACUGGAAUAAUUUGUUCAAUGUAUGUGUUUUUUGAAAGACACCAGUAGCAUUGGUUGAUUCAUUAUCCUGAGGGAUAAAUACCUGUAUAAACUUCCUGCUUUUAUAUUUCAAAAGUUGCUAAUAAAUGGAUUUGUUGCUGGAAAAACUGAAGUGUACAGUGUUGUGCUUGUGUGUGUUCACUGAUUUUCUCCUGUAUGGGCAGCUUUUUAAUAUCGACAUGCACACACCAAAUCAUAGGCAGCUUUCUACGGUCUGACUUUCACUACAUCCAGUUAACAUCCAGUUUCCCACAGCUAAUGCUAACCGUCAAAAAGGCAAUACAAGGCCUUAGUAUCUAAAAAUAAUAGGUCAGUAUCUCAAAAUAACGAGAAGCUUUAUCACAAUAAUGAAAUGAUAUCUCCAAAUAAUGAAAACAUUUGUGAUAUCAAAAUAGAUAUCACAUACAGUGUACCACCCUGAGGUCUGUUCAGGUAAGGCAGUGGUGUUCACUGAUGUUCUCCCGUGGGCAGCUUUUUAAUAUCGACAUGCACACACCAAAUCAUAGGCAGCUUUCAACUGUCUGAUUUUCACUACAUCCAGUUCAGUUUCCUACAGCUAAUGCUAACUGCCAAAAUGCAAUACAAGGCCUUAGUAUCUUAGUAUCUAAAAAUAAUGUGAAACGUUCUAAAAGGGAUGACUUAAUUUGUAAAAAAUAAACCAAAUCAAAAUAUGGAGAAAGUAUCUUAACAUAAUGGGUCAUCUCAUUGUAAUGACAUACAUGAUCUUUGUUUUUUCAUCACAUUGGUGGAAAUGGGCUUCCAUAUAUUGUAGACGGUGGAUGUUCAAAACUGACAGCGCCAGGUUUGGUUUCAUGAUAUUAUAUUAUAUAUUAUAUGGAUAUUAUAUAAUAUAUUAUAUAUCAUUAUAUUUGUGUCAAAUGUAAUCUAAAAUCCAGUGAGUUAGUCACUCGAGUACGUACACACUCUCAUUAGCUAACUCCCAGUUGGGCCACUUCCUCAUAAACUCACUUACACUUGUCUAGUGAGUGUAAAUGUAUAUUCUAAUGUUGAUGGGUAUAAAACAAUGUUUUUGUGACAUUCCCUUUGUCUGCUAUUGCUCCCUCGCUCGCAUACACGUGCUUGCUGCAUGCCACCCCCUCUCCUCCCGUGCGCAUACUGCCCCCCUCCCUUUCUGUUUUUCGUGCUCACUGGUAGUUUUCCACUGCCCGUGCAUAUGUCUGAGGAAAUAAUGGGGACUUGUUCGUCUUUCACCCGCUGUCAAUGCCUUUAACACCAUAGACAUAUAUAGAUGUCUAUAUAUGUCUAUGUUUAACACGGCGGGCAACAUUGUGUCACGUGACUCCUCCAUUCAUGCCUCAGUCAUGCAUGCUGGCAGCAACAUACGCACCAGCAGUCGCGUGAAAUUCCUUUUUCAUCUCGGAGACGGAGCGCAUUCCUCUGCAUGAAUCCACAAAAUUGGAAGGCGAUAGGAAAAGCAAAUGAUUCAACCCGUCUGAUCUAAUAAUCGUAUACACUGAAAGCCCUCUAUGCUUAGCCGUGAAGUGCUUCUUUGGGUCUGUUUCCCCACACCGAGUCAGUGAUUAAUCUCCUCUUCCAUAGGCUGUUUAGGCUAUUUCACAGACGCAUAAUUACAUAACAGGAUUUACGUUCAUUGACUGGAAUGGGUUUGGACACUGCCAAUCGCCCCACUGCCGUCAUUCCAUGUGCCUGUCCAGUUAGUUUAUCUACGUUUAAUCGACGUACCAUUUAAUGGACGAAUUAUGAUUUGCUGAGAUUUGGUGCUGAUUGAUGUCAUCACAUGCUAUGAAAUUAUUACAACUCUUUACAUAUGUUUCUUGAAAUAUGCACUUUUUACUUUUAGAUAUUUUUCUACACCUUUGGCCCAAAGGUAGGGAGAUGAUGGCACACGUAAUGACAAAUACAUUCUGAAAAUAAAUAGCAAGUACAUUUACAAUCAGAAUAGUUUAUAACAUCCACUCAUGUUUCCUAAUGUAUUAUACAGUGAAUGAUUGGCAUCGUAUAUCUCAUUUCCACAGUCUUUAAAAUGUAAAUAAAAAUUCUCUUUUUGGAGCAUUGGUGACUAAAGCAGUUGCAGCGUACACAUACACACACACAAACACACACACACUCACACACACACUCACACACAUUAAUACAAACACACCUCUCUGAAUCCAGGUUAGUGACAUGCAAGUGGGACAUUCACUGUUAGACUGCCAAAUUACUUGAAUGCCUCUGCUAC